GAGUAAAAGUACUAAAGUGUGUUGAUGUUUUAAGUAUUCAAUAAGCAUCUUUGAAAGUCGAUGCCUCUAGUGUUUAAUAAUUCGACCAAAACUAUAAUAACUUGACAAUAUCAUA